rnacentral:lncRNA from 1 species
CCUUCCUACAUCGAGUCUGGUUUUGACCGUGUGACUUCUUCAGCCAUCGAGACACUAGCAUGAUACUUCAGUAUUCCUCAAAUGCACUAAAACAAUAAAAACAACAAUACUCUGGAAAGGUGGUUUUUACUGCUGCAGAAGGCCACACAGAUGAGACAGACAGAAGAGCCAGCUGUGAUGUGCCAAAGUUUGCCGAGAAGGAGCCUGCGAGAUGAUGAAGUCUCCCAGAUAUUCUCUGGGAACUGCCCUCAAAAGAAAAGAUGGAAAGCCUGUUUGAAUAUUGGUAACAACUCAGGAGUAUAGAGGAUCAAACCAAGAGCCUCAAGCAUGCUAGUAUUAAUGAGAUUUCCAGGACGGACUGUAAGAUAAUUGUAUUUCUUCUGGAAGAAAUCUUCUCAGGUCGAGAACCUCAGGGAGCCCCUCCUGUGCUUAGGGGAGAAACAAAGAAGGUUAGAGACCUGGAUUCUGAGAUGGUAUUUCAACUCAACGCGCCAAAAUGUCAUGCUUUGUGGCAUUAUUUUCCGAGCCUCAAUAAAUACUUUCUACUGCAGGGACAAGAAAGCUUCAAAGCUAAUCCUUUCUGUGCAGGCAGCCUUCGCCACCUCAAUCCUUCCAGGCCCUGCUUAAAUGUCACCGCCUGUUCACAUCUCUGUCUCUUUCCUAGAGAAUUAACUGCUCUCUUCUCUGAAAUUCACCAUACCUACUCGUACAAUGACCAUAUAGUGCUGUACCCAAGCAUCUAUUUCUCCCUAUACCUCCCCUUCAUCUUAAGCUGUGAGCUGUCCAAGGAUGUGGAGCCCUGCAGCCACAGGUCCCAGACAGGGUCUGACAAAUAGCAUACAAAAUGUUGAGUGAAUGAGCAGCUGGUAACAGGGUCAGGGGAGAAGGAGAGGCCAAGACGUGGCCUGCGUGAAUAAGUGACGGCUCAUCCAGUUACAGCAGUAAGGGUUCGGCACAACAUAUACGGCCACUUAUAAACGCUAAGGCUCCCAGGAGCACUCAUGAGGCCAGUGUUUGGGGAGGCAGUGGGCUGAGCAGCUGUCUUCAAAUUGCGGCAUCAAAGUUGGUGUAUUUGGGGAGCACAGAGUACUGCAGAAGAAUGAAAAGAUAGGUAUCAGGAUUUUCUUUUAUUUAGAAAAGUCGAAAUGAAGCAACAUGUCCUAUGUGUGUUGGAAGAAACCCCAGAAGAAAAGGGAAAUAAGAGGGGGCUCCUCUCCUACAAAACAGGGAUACCAUUCAGAAGUUCCAAACUUAGCAUUGCUCAUUUCAUCAGUGAUUAUAGUGAAAUGCAUCCAUGUUUUGUGUGUAUCAGGAGGAAAGCUUGUAUGUAGACAGGAAUCAUAUCUGGUUGUGGCUUUGGUUUAAAUAAUAGCUCAAAUAGUCGAUAAACAUGUUUGGAGUGUUUAAGUGCCUGGCACUGUGCCACAUGCUAGGAGGUACAAAGCG